rnacentral:tRNA from 13 species
UCCCAUGUGGUCUAGUGGUUAGGAUUCCUGGCUUUCGCCCAGGCUGCCCGGGCUCCAUUUCCGGCAUGGGAA